AGCAAGAAGAAGAUGUGAGACCCACGAGACAGAGAAUCUAAACCCAGAGAUGGGCAAAGGCAGUUCAGGGAUGACAGCCAAAGGAGGUCUCAAGAUGGCAGCUGCCAGUUAUGGAUAACAACAUAUGACUUGGAAAAAUUAACAUGUGUAAAUGCUACAAACAAUACCUCAAAAGUGUUACUCGCUGAAGACAGAGACCAGGAGUGUAGUGAAAGGAGGAAGAGGAGUUGUCUGAUGUGCUGCCCUGUGUCAGAGAAUAACGUGGCACCUGCUUUGGAGUAAAAGAUAGUUGGCAGUCAUCCAUAAUCUCAGGAGAAGACAGCAAACUGGCCAAAAAGCAAAAGCAGAUGGAGGGAGACUGGAGAGCAGAAUCAGUGAAGGAGUCGUGAUGAUGCUGCGCUGCUGGCUUGAGUGGUUCCAGCCAAGGAGUGCAGGUGGCCUCUAGAGGGUGGGAAAAGCAAGUUAAACGGAUUCUCCUCUAGAGCUUCCAGAAGGAACCAGCUCUGCUGACACCUUAAUUUUAGCCCAUAGGACCCAUAAAGGAAGUAAUCGUUCUUGCACACUGGGCUUGGGGGCUGAAAUUCCUACUCUCUACACACCAAUGUUUUCACUUCUGCUUCAGGGGAGGGCAUCCACUGUGGGCCACAUGCUUUAUACAUGCUUGUUCUAGUUCAUCUUCACAACCCAAUGAGGUCAU
rnacentral:lncRNA from 1 species